UGAUCACAUCACUUUGAAACACCUGUUCCUGCAUGAUUACUGAAGUUAAGCAAUGUCAAGCCUGGUCAGUACAUAGAUAGGUGACUGCUUGGGAAUACCAGGUGAUGUAAG